UACGUAGGGUGCAAGCGUUGUCUGGAAUUAUUGGGCGUAAAGAGCUCGUAGGCGGUCUGUCACGUCUGCUGUGAAAACUCGGGGCUUAACCCCGGGCCUGCAGUGGGUACGGGCAGACUAGAGUGCGGUAGGGGAGACUGGAAUUCCUGGUGUAGCGGUGAAAUGCGCAGAUAUCAGGAGGAACACCGGUGGCGAAGGCGGGUCUCUGGGCCGUAACUGACGCUGAGGAGCGAAAGCGUGGGGAGCAAACAGG
rnacentral:rRNA from 1 species